CGGGAUGUCGCCUAGCGGCUAUGGCGUCUGCUUUGGGAGCAGAAUAUCGAUGGUUCGAGUCCAUUCAUCCCGA
rnacentral:tRNA from 2 species